rnacentral:rRNA from 1 species
CAGCAGCCACGGUAAUACGACGGGUGCAAGCGUUACUCGGAAUUACUGGGCGUAAAGCGUGCGUAGGUGGUGGUUUAAGUCCGUUGUGAAAGCCCUGGGCUCAACCUGGGAAUUGCAGUGGAUACUGGGUCACUAGAGUGUGGUAGAGGAUAGUGGAAUUUCCGGUGUAGCAGUGAAAUGCGUAGAGAUCGGAAGGAACAUCUGUGGCGAAGGCGACUAUCUGGGCCAACACUGACACUGAGGCACGAAAGCGUGGGGAGCAAACAGGAUUAGAUACCCCAGUAGUCCCUGUCUCUUAUAC